rnacentral:tRNA from 1 species
GGGCGAUUAGCUCAGUUGGUAGAGCGCUUCGUUUACACCGAAGAUGUCGACGGUUCGAGUCCGCCAUCGCCCA